rnacentral:rRNA from 1 species
CCUAGUGUUGGAGCCCUCUUUUAUGUUCAACCUUUUUUUUUUGGUUAAAACUUUAUGACUCCAUAACUUUUAGGCCGUGAGGCCAAACUUGGCAUGGUAUACCUUUUCGGAAAGCCCAAAGACAGCCCUCCGACGAAGGAAGCAGGACAAUGGAAUCUUUCCAUUGACUUUUUGUCGACCCCAAAUUUUGACCUUUAAGUACUUUU